rnacentral:rRNA from 1 species
CACGUAGGGCGCAAGCGUUGUCCGGAAUUAUUGGGCGUAAAGAGCUCGUAGGUGGUUUGUUACGUCUGCUGUGAAAACCUAGGGCUUAACCCUGGGCUUGCAGUGGAUACGGGCAGACUAGAGGUAGGUAGGGGAGAAUGGAAUUCCUGGUGUAGCGGUGAAAUGCGCAGAUAUCAGGAGGAACACCGGUGGCGAAGGCGGUUCACUGGACCACAACUGACGCUGAGGCGCGAAAGCUAGGGGGAGCAAACAGG